AUUGAACGCUGGCAGCAUGCUUUACACAUGCAAGUCGAACGGUAACGCGGGGCAACCUGGCGACGAGUGGCGAACGGGUGAGUAAUGCAUCGGAACGUGCCCGGUAGUGGGGGAUAACUGCUCGAAAGAGCAGCUAAUACCGCAUACGACCUGAGGGUGAAAGGGGGGGAUCGCAAGACCUCUCGCUAUUGGAGCGGCCGAUGUCGGAUUAGCUAGUUGGUGGGGUAAGGGCCCACCAAGGCGACGAUCCGUAGCUGGUCUGAGAGGACGACCAGCCACACUGGGACUGAGACACGGCCCAGACUCCUACGGGAGGCAGCAGUGGGGAAUUUUGGACAAUGGACGCAAGUCUGAUCCAGCCAUGCCGCGUGCGGGAAGAAGGCCUUCGGGUUGUAAACCGCUUUUGUCAGAGAAGAAAUCUUCUGGGUUAAUACCUCGGGAGGAUGACGGUAUCUGAAGAAUAAGCACCGGCUAACUACGUGCCAGCCGCCGCCGUAAUAC
rnacentral:rRNA from 1 species